CCUCAACUGAAUUUUCAACUCAGCCGUCCACCAGUGACUUCAAUCAUCACUUUUCUGCAUGUGUAAGCUGUACAAACUCUGCCAUCAUAUCCAAGACAUUGCAUUGUGAGGACUGGUGCCCUGGGAACACUGAGCGCAUUCUCGAAAAUUCCAAAUUUGUGCCACUUCCAUACGAAGACAGCCCAGAAUAAUUGGGCUCCAUCAACCAUUCCGGGUAAAGUCGGUCUGUCCUGAUUGCACUACUUGCUAAUUGAUGACGUCUAGAAGCCAUAGCUGCUUCCCUCAACGUGGCAGCCCUCACAAAUAAACUGAUACCAGGAAUUAACAUACAGUAGAUGGUGAUGGUGGUGGUGGCAAGGGUGCCUUCACAAGGUGCCAUGUCACAAUCUCAGUGUGGAGCCAAAGGCUGCUAUUGCAAGUCAGAUGGGGGACGAUCGAUGUAAGGCAUCAGAAAGGUGGUGUACGUACAAAGGCUGGAGCUGCUGGAGACAGUGUUGCACUUAGAUACUUGAUUUACUGCCGAAGGUACCAUCAGAGCACCACCCUACCCCUGCAGGACCAGAAGAGGACGGACAGGGGGCCAACAUUUUUUAACACUCUGACCAUGGACUAUUUAAACCAUUGAGGUAACGCAGACGUCUGAUCCCACUUGGCUAAAACAGAAGACUGAGGAGGAGUUUCUUUCCUCAUGCCAUUCGCAUCCUGAGCACACAUACUACAUUACAUGGACUUGCCAUACUGCACUUACACACUGCACUAUUUACCCCCUGACUCAUUCCGUGUCAAAUCAGACAAGGUUAUGCUGCACCGUCUCAGGCCUGUACAAUAUUUUUUUGUUCAAUCCUAUGUCUUCAUAUUAUAAUGUUUGUAUGGCCUGCUCAAUGAUUUUCAUUGAAAAGUGUUCAUUAAAAGUUCAAAUGGUA